UACAGAGGUCUCAAGCGUUGUUCGGAUUCAUUGGGCGUAAAGGGUGCGUAGGUGGCGCUGUAAGUCGGGUGUGAAAUUUCGAGCUUAACUCCGAAACUGCAUUCGAUACUGCGGUGCUUGAGGACUGGAGAGGAGACUGGAAUUCAUGGUGUAGCAGUGAAAUGCGUAGAGAUGUGGAGGAAUACCGAUGGCGAAGGCAGCCCCCUGGGAUAACACUGACGCUCAUGCACGAAAGCGUGGGGAGCAA
rnacentral:rRNA from 1 species